rnacentral:pre_miRNA from 1 species
AAUAGAUGACGCUGUUGACUUUUUCUCAUAUGUUUGACCAUUCGUCUUAUUCAAAAAUUUUAUGCAAAUGUAUUUUAUUUUGUUAUGGGUUGUUUUAUCACUCAUAGUACUUUAAGUGUGAUUUAUAUCAUAUACAUUUGCAUAAAAUUUUUGAAUAAGACGAAUGGUCAAACAUAUGAGUUAGAAGUUCCACACUUCCA